GCUGAAGAACGCAGCGAAAUGCGAUAAGUAAUGUGAAUUGCAGAAUUCAGUGAAUCAUCGAAUCUUUGAACGCACAUUGCGCCCGCCAGUAUUCUGGCGGGCAUGCCUGUUCGAGCGUCAUUUCAACCAUCAAGCCCCCGGCUUGUGUUGGGGACCUGCGGCUGCCGCAGGCCCUGAAAACCAGUGGCGGGCUCGCUAGUCACUCCGAGCGUAGUAAUACAUCUCGCUCAGGGCGUGCUGCGGGUUCCGGCCGUUAAAAAGCCUUAUUUACCCAAGGUUGACCUCGGAUCAGGUAGGAAGACCCGCUGAACUUAAGCAUAUCAAUAAGCGGAGGA
rnacentral:misc_RNA from 1 species